GGGAAGGCCCGAAAGUGGCGGGUGGUGCGACGAUUCGCGAUUACGACUCCGUAAGAGAUCGCCUUUCUCUCUCUCAAUCCUUGUUUCGAGAGACGCAAGGUGGGAUUAGGGUCAGGAAGGAUUCGAAGUAAGGACAAGGUGGAUGGGGACAUGGCGGAAGGCCUACGGAGCCCUCAAGGAUUCCACCAAGGUCGGGCUCGCCAAGGUCAACAGCGAAUUCAAGGAUUUGGACAUUGCAAUUGUGAAGGCAACAAACCAUGAAGAAUGCCCACCGAAGGAGCGGCACGUGCGGACAAUAUUUGCUGCUACGUCUGUGGUGAGGCCACGAGCAGAUGUAGCUUACUGCAUAUAUGCACUUGGCAGAAGAUUGUCCAAGACACAUAAUUGGAUGGUUGCCUUGAAAACCCUGAUAGUUAUUCACAGGACAUUGAGAGAGGGCGAUCCCACAUUCCGAGAGGAGCUAUUGAUUUAUUCUCGUCGAGGAAAUGUUCUACAUAUAUCCAACUUUAAGGAUGAUUCUGGUCCUCUAGCUUGGGAUUGUUCCGCAUGGGUACGAACAUAUGCACUCUACUUAGAGGAGCGGCUUUCUUGUUUUAGGAUCUUAAAAUAUGAUAUUGAAGCAGAACGUUUGAUGAAAUCUCCACAGGAGUCUGCCAAAGGACAUAGUCGAACCAGAACACUAUGUUGUCCUGAUCUGUUAGAACAGUUGCUCGCUUUGCAACAGCUACUGUUCCGCCUUAUAGGUUGCCGGCCUGAAGGAGCAGCAUGUGGAAACUUCCUUAUUCAAUAUGCAUUAGCCCUGGUUUUGAAAGAGAGCUUUAAAAUAUAUUGUGCAAUCAAUGAUGGGAUCAUCAAUCUUGUAGAUAUGUUCUUUGAUAUGUCAAAAUAUGAUGCUGUCAAGGCGCUUGAUAUCUACAAGAGAGCUGGACAGCAGGCAGAAUCUCUUUCUGAGUUCUAUGAAUUUGGCAAAUGUUUGGAGCUUGCAAGGACCUUUCAGUUCCCAACUCUGAGACAGCCACCUCCUUCGUUCCUUGCAACAAUGGAAGAAUAUGUCAGAGAAGCACCUGGGGUUGGCUCUGUUUCAAGCAAGCGGCUGGAAUAUGAAGAUAGGAAAGUAUUAACUUACCAACAAGAAGAAGCCGCACCUGCAGAGGACGAAAAUCCAGAUGAGGAAGAUGAGAAACAGCCACCGGAAGAGGAACAGCCACCGGAAGAGGAACAACCACCAGAAGAGCAACCGCCACCGGAACCUGAACCUGAACCUAUAACUGAAGAAGAAGCUCAGCCUGCUACUUCCGGAGACUUGCUGGGCUUGGAUGAAAUAAAUCCCGUUGCUGCCGAACUUGAGCAAAGCAAUGCCUUGGCCCUUGCCAUCAUUUCUCCAGGGGAUGAUACAAAGCCUUCAUCAACUCAUGACUUGUUUGGAACUGAUUCUUCCGGAUGGGAGUUAGCACUGGUCACUACUGCGAGCAGCAACACCAGCCAGUUGGUUGAAAGCAAACUGGCUGGCGGAUUCGACAGGCUCUUGCUAGAAAGUCUCUACGAAGAUUCAGCGAGGAGCCAACAAAUUGCUGGUGCUUACAGCAGCGGCGGUCUGGACGCCAAUCCUUCCGAUUACAAUGAUCCCUUCGCCAUGUCGAACAGCAUUGCGCCGCCACCAAGCGUGCAGAUGGCUUUGAUGGCACAGCAGCAACAACAGCAGCAGCAGCAGCAGUAUUACUACUAUCAACAGCAGCCGCUACAGCAGGAGCAGUAUUAUCAGCAGCAGGAUACGAGUAUGAUGGUGCCUUAUCAACCUCAGCAAGCUCAGCAGCAGAUGGCCUCUGCCAACCCCUUCGGCGACCCAUUUGCCGGCUUUCCACAGGGUGCAACCACACAAAGCAAUCAACAUCUGCUCUAAUAAGAAUGCGUUGUAUUGUUCUUCCAGAAUGGUGGAAUGGUGGGGUGAUCAUUCUUGGACUUGAGCUCCAUUAAAUGAGACUGUAACCAAGUCUUUUUCUACUAAACUAUGGAAGCAAACAUGAGUUAGACCAAAAUGACCGGUGUGUUCUUCCAUGGCAGGAAACAAGGACAAGGUUUCAUUGCGCAGUGUUGAAACGCCUGUAUACUUGGUAUGUCAGAUUUUAUCCAAUCUUGUAUCAGAGGAGAUGAUUGACUUGAUAACAGCUUCUUGAUGAAUAUUCUUUUCUUCA